AGAGGGCAGGAACUUGGGUGUCUGAAACACUGUGCUAAGUACUGAAGGAGAGGAGGUCCCAGGCACGUCUUUGUCAGAAAGUACUUGUGCCUUGUAAAACUGCAUGCAUGCAGUGAGGUCAGAGACCAGCGCCUAGCCAGAGCUGCCAGGAAGGAUGGUGCUGUUGCAGGGGGUGAAGGGAUGAGCUGCGGAGAGCUGCAGAGUGAAUGGCCAUCAGAGGAAAUGGGAACAGAGGCUCAAGCCAGCGUGCUGUCUGGAAGGAAGAGGGCCAGGCCGAUGGGGUUCCAGUGCAUGAAAUGCUGGGAGCAAGAGGGAUUGUUUCACUGGUUGCCAGGAGGCUGUAGGGGCAGAAGAGCCACAGCUGGAAGGAGCCUGGGUCCCUGGAUCACCGUGUGGAGGAAAACCACCUGUUGAUCAGGAACACCACCAUUGGAAUAGUUAUAUGGGUGAAAACGAAACCUGAAAUUUGGAGGUUUGUUUCAGCAUAACCCUAUCAAGUACCGUGGGAUUCUGAUGAGUACUAGUAUUUUU